UUGACACAAAACAUUAUGCAGAUGACAUUUCUCGUUUUAAAGCUGAGAUACAAUUGACAUAAAACAUUGUAUGAGUUGCUGGUGUCAACAGGAUGAUUUGAAAUUUGUACGUGCAGUUGAUGUUUAUGAUUCAACCCAAGAGUAGAGAGAACAGCCACACAAAUGUCCAGAGAAGUACAAGAAAAUAAACCCAAGCCCUUCCAGCAGGCAACAUGGGAGGAUCCCAUUGCAGUGCCGUACCAAAUUCCUACCCUCGUGUGUUCCCAGAAUCUAGUUACAACGGCAUUCAUUCCACAAAAACUCAUUCAACGGCAGUGUGUUAGAGCGAAAAGGAACGGGGUGGAAUGUAAAAAUCUGCAUUCAGUGGAAACUGUACCAGAAACACAUGCGGACCAGUUCUUAUCAUCGGCGUUUCAGAAUCGUGGCAGACAGACGGCGUGCAUAAAUCCCGUCCUUUUUCUCGAAGACAAUAAAUGUAGAAGCCCAGCUAACACACAGUGAAGACGACAAGCCAGAAGGGUCUGGAAAGGAUAAAGGAGCUCCUGGAGUAUGUCAGAUACACCAGCGUCAUGCUGGACAGCUCAGACAGACAUGGAUAAACACCACGAAAGAGUUCCAUGCCCAGAUCAACUAAGUCUUAACUCUGCACUCCAUCCAAGGUCCCACAGCUGGGAAGGUGCGUGUGGUGAGAACAUUGCGUGAAGAAUCAAGGAGCAUCACUGAAGGUCAGAGGGAAGCCAGAGAAUGCAAGGAGCGUUGGUGGAGGGGAGGGACCUACCUCAUCAGGAAUGCCAGGGCCCAGGUGUCAGCCCGACCACGUGGCAGAACACGAUUGUCAUUCAAUGUCCCACGUCCUCAUUGGAAAACUCAAGCUGGGCUGUUACAAGGAGACAAUAUCAGAGACACAAAAACUGACCACUGAAACAACAAUGCAUUCCGCCCAAAGACAGCUCACCAACCCACAAGCCCAGGCAGGGAGAGACGUUUGGGCUGGGAGGUGGACACCUCAUGUCAGGAUUGAAGACACACGGUGAGGAAGAUGGCUUCCGUCCUCUCUCAUGGCUGGACAAGUAGGGGCCAUCCGCCUUGUCUCAGCCCUCAGUGACCUUGACUCCUGUAGGACAUUAUCCUUUCCCAUCAGCCCCCUCUACCUGUCCAGACCUACACUGAUCUGGGCGUUCACAAGAAGCUCCAAAUUCCCCGUGAACUUGACCGUGGUCUUUGUAGUAGCAUGUACCCUCACGCUUCUCCAGACUCCUAGAAUACUAACAGUCAAGACCAUAAAUGCCCCUCUCCUUCCUUCCUGGAACGUUCAAGAUGUUUCAUCUUUCUUACGUCUUGAGUACACCGCCACCGGCACCCAGUUAGAGCCUGGGGUUUUGUAAUGCAAGACACAGAAAUGCAGCCACAGACCAGAGGAUACGACUCUGAAAAUGAAAAGGGCUCUGACGACCACCAGGUUCGAUUCAUUUUUUUUCCACAUGAGCUUUCAUCACUGCCCUUUCAUCGCAAUGCAUGGUUGGAGGGGAGCAGGGAGGAAUUCUCCAAUGACUGCGGCACCCGCGUUCUCACCCCUACAACCACCCCUACAACCACUGAAAUCCAACUUACGACGCUAUAUGCCUGGUAUUUCUUGAGGACUCUUCUGGGGGAAGCGUAUGUAACGGGUGUGUUAAACAAUCAUGACUCAUUGGGUGUGAACAUAAAGCAAAUUUCAUUUUGUCUCCUACCAUCCCUUUCGAAUUCAGGAGGGGGGAGGGAUUCUUCGUACACCUCUGGAGGAAAUCAUAGGAGGUCUGAGAGCUUUCUUUUGCUGGCUCUCCGUCCGCCCUCUCUCUCUCUCUCUGUCUCUGUCUCUCUCUUCCUGCACCUGCAACAGGUGUGCACUCCCAUCCCUUUCCUCCUGCAGGGGGGCAUCACCGAGGCAGAGGCAGUUGUGAAGGGAAGGAUUUCACAGAAUUGCCCAGCUGCCCCAGUUCCACCUGGGAGAAUCAGCUCACUGCGGGGAGAAGGGGAGCCUGCUAGGUCCGUGCGCCGAGCCCCCUUUCCAGUCCAGCUGGAAAGGCGGUCAGCAGAAGCCUUUAUUUCUCUCUGACACCCGUGUGCACUUGGCAGUGGGCUUGCAAUCCAGUGGGGAGGGGUGUGCAUUAGUUGGCUUCUCAAAAGACACAGGUGAGGGUCUCACAGACACCCGCAAAGUCACCGCAGGGGAGCAACAGACUCUGUACCGUGUUGAAAUAUCAGGGUUUCUCUCGUGGUCAGGCAGAGGCCGCAUAGACUUGUGCCCACGUGAGCCUGUGACCUUGCAGUUUGCAACAGCUCACACCGUGACUGGGAGUGUUCGGGGAGAUUCCUCCAAGCUCACGAUUGGUGUCAGAAGUGAGGACGGUCACAUGGAAGGUCCCCUCCUCUGAGGGUCCACCUGUUUCCUUGUUUCUUUGGCCUCAGGCAUCUCUCUGCCUCACCAGGAUUUGAGUGGGUACGUAGGUUCAGUUCUGCGGGGAAACAAGGAAAGUCCAUCGUGGGUCGUAUCCCAGUUUUUUCUCCUAAACUAAGUCUGACCUUAAUGAAAUAGCUGUUUGCGUCAUGACCGCUGCCCCAUAGAUGUCUCCACUGGCCAAGCCCAGAUUUCCCAUCUAGGUUACUCUGGAAGCUAACACGCUGCCGGGUUUGGGAAAGAGAGAGUAACAUAAAUGUUACUCUUUGUUCGUAACAGGGGUAAAAAACAAACACAGCCACGUGCCCUGCGGGGUCCAAAGACUAGGCUCUGCUAAAAGAAAUCCUGCCCAGAAUUUGACCCAGACAGAGUCUGUAGACUUGUUACCGACUCUUUGAAUCGUGAGUAAAAAUAACUAAAAUGUGGUCUAGACACAGA